rnacentral:rRNA from 1 species
AGCGGGUAGAUGAGCUUGCUCAUUUAUGCCGGCGACCGGCGCACGGGUGAGUAACACGUAUGCAACCUGCCCGUCUCAGGGGGAUAAUCGUCGGAAACGGCGUCUAAUACCCCGUAUGAAGCUGGACGGCAUCGUCUGGUUUUGAAAGAAUAUCGGAGACGGAUGGGCAUGCGGCGCAUUAGCUAGUUGGCGGGGUAACGGCCCACCAAGGCGACGAUGCGUAGGGGUUCUGAGAGGAAGGUCCCCCACACUGGUACUGAGACACGGACCAGACUCCUACGGGAGGCAGCAGUGAGGAAUAUUGGUCAAUGGGCGAGAGCCUGAACCAGCCAAGUCGCGUGAGGGAGUACUGCCCUAUGGGUUGUAAACCUCUUUUGUCGGGGAGCAAAAGCCGGACGUGUCCGUCUGUGAGAGUACCCGAAGAAAAAGCAUCGGCUAACUCCGUGCCAGCAGCCGCGGUAAUACGGAGGAUGCGAGCGUUAUCCGGAUUUAUUGGGUUUAAAGGGUGCGCAGGCGGAUUUUUAAGUCAGCGGUCAAAUCGUGGGGCUCAACCCCAUCCAGCCGUUGAAACUGGGGAUCUAGAGUGUGCGAGAGGUAUGCGGAAUGCGUGGUGUAGCGGUGAAAUGCAUAGAUAUCACGCAGAACCCCGAUUGCGAAGGCAGCAUACCGGUGCACAACUGACGCUCAGGCACGAAAGCGUGGGUAUCGAACA